rnacentral:rRNA from 1 species
UACGUAGGGGGCAAGCGUUGUCCGGAAUUAUUGGGCGUAAAGAGCGUGUAGGCGGCCAGAUAAGUCCGCUGUGAAAUCUCGAGGCUCAACUUCGAGCUGUCGGUGGAAACUAUCUGGCUAGAGUCCGGAAGAGGAGAAUGGAAUUCCUGGUGUAGCGGUGAAAUGCGCAGAUAUCAGGAGGAACACCAGCGGCGAAGGCGGCGCUCUGGGCCGGAACUGACGCUGAGGAGCGAAAGCGUGGGUAGCAAACAGG